ACAUUUAGGUAGCAAUAUUUGAAUGUUGGAGUGGCGCAAGGGUGCUUAACACGUGGAUCAUCUGCCGUGAAGUCUGGGAUAACUUGCUGAAAGGCGAGCUAAUACCGGAUGUGAAAGAAAUUUCAAAGUUGGGGACCGCAAGGCCUGACGCUUUACGAUGAGUCCGCGGCCUAUCAGCUAGUUGGCGGGGUAACGGCCCACCAAGGCUAAGACGGGUAGCUGGUCUGAGAGGACGACCAGCCACACUGGAACUGAGACACGGUCCAGACACCUACGGGUGGCAGCAGUCGAGAAUUUUUCUCAAUGGGCGAAAGCCUGAAGGAGCGACGCCGCGUGGGGGAUGAAUGGCUUCGGCCCGUAAACCCCUGUCAUUUGUGAACAAAUUGACUCACUUAACACGCGUGUCAUUGAUUGUAACGGAAGAGGAAGGGACGGCUAACUCUGUGCCAGCAGCCGCGGUAAUACAGAGGUCCCAAGCGUUGUUCGGAUUCACUGGGCGUAAAGGGUGCGUAGGCGGUGAGGUAAGUCUGACGUGAAAUCUCCGGGCCUAACCCGGAAACUGCGUUGGAUACUAUCUCGCUAGAGGAAUGGAGGGGAGACUGGAAUACUUGGUGUAGCAGUGAAAUGCGUAGAUAUCAAGUGGAACACCAGUGGCGAAGGCGAGUCUCUGGACAUUUCCUGACGCUGAGGCACGAAAGCCAGGGGAGCAAACGGGAUUAGAUACCCCGGUAGUCCUGGCCCUAAACGGUGCGCGUUUGCUGUGAGUGGAAUCGACCCCGCUCGUGGCGAAGUUAACACGUUAAACGCGCCGCCUGGGAAGUACGGCCGCAAGGUUAAAACUC
rnacentral:rRNA from 1 species